rnacentral:ncRNA from 1 species
CGAAAAGGCCGUGGCGAUUUGUACCGGAUUGCGGGCCACGUAAAACAUGCCGCUAAAGAGGUAGGUGGCCCAAAAUG